AAUUGGAGGGCAAGUCUGGUGCCAGCAGCCGCGGUAAUUCCAGCUCCAAUAGCGUAUAUUAAAGUUGUUGCAGUUAAAAAGCUCGUAGUUGAAUUUCGGGAUCAAUAUUUCGGUCAUGCCGUUGGUAUGCACUGUUAUCAUUGAUUUCUCACCUUCUAAAGAACCGUAAUGCCAUUAAUUUGGUGUUACGGGGAAUUAGGACUGUUACCUUGAAAAAAUUAGAGUGUUUAAAGCAGGCUCACGCUUGAAUACAUUAGCAUGGAAUAAUGAAAUAGGGCAUCCGAUUCUAUUUUGUUGGUUUCUAGGAUCGAUGUAAUGAUUAAUAGGGAUAGUUGGGGGCAUUAGUAUUCAAUUGUCAGAGGUGAAAUUCUUGGAUUUAUUGAAGACUAACUACUGCGAAAGCAUUUGCCAAGGAUGUUUUCAUUAAUCAAGAACGAAAGUUAGGGGAUCGAAGACGAUCAGAUACCGUCGUAGUCUUAACCAUAAACUAUGCCGACUAGGGAUCGGAUGAUGUUAAUUUUUUAAUGACUCAUUCGGCGCCUUACGGGAAACCAAAGUGU
rnacentral:rRNA from 1 species